UAAAAAUUAGUUAAUUUAUAACAUUAAUUUGUCAAAUUAAAAUAAUUUAAUAUUAAAUAUUUUUAA
rnacentral:tRNA from 1 species